UGACCUCGGAUCAGGUAGGAAUACCCGCUGAACUUAAGCAUAUCAAUAG
rnacentral:rRNA from 2 species